rnacentral:tRNA from 1 species
GGUCCUGUAGCCUAGCGGUUAGGGCACCUGCCUUAUAAGCGGGAGAUCGUGGGUUCAAAUCCCGCCGGGACCACCA